UACGUAGGGGGCAAGCGUUAUCCGGAUUUACUGGGUGUAAAGGGAGCGCAGGCGGCGCGGCAAGUCUGAUGUGAAAACCCGGGGCCCAACCCCGGGAGUGCAUUUGAAACUGUCUGGCUAGAGUGCAGGAGAGGUAAGUGGAAUUCCUAGUGUAGCGGUGAAAUGCAUAGAGAUUAGGAAGAACACCAGUGGCGAAGGCGACUUACUGGACUGUAACUGACGCUGAGGCAUGAGAGCAUGGGGAGCAAACAGG
rnacentral:rRNA from 1 species